GCGACCCAGGUCAGGCGGGACUA
rnacentral:rRNA from 7 species